GCGCACGAGGGAUUUAAAGGGACACGAUUUUUUAAAGUGCUCCGAAUUUAUUUUUUUUCGAAUUUUCUUUUUCUAGCGGAGGAGCCUCCGCCAGACUUUUGGUACCAGUUCUUCGAGUUUUGUUUUUUAUAUUCAAGGAGAUUCAAGACUGUGAAAACGUUGAGAUGACUUCGAAGCUCGUGGGGUUAGAUUUUGAAGUUUUCGGAAGAGUUCAGGGUGUUUUUUUUCGGAAGUACACUCAAGAGCAGGGAAAGGCGUUGGGACUAAAAGGAUGGUGCAAGAACACCGAACGAGGGACCGUCCUCGGCUACAUGGAAGGCGACAAAGCGAGGAUAGAAGACAUGAAACGGUGGUUGCAGUACACGGGCAGUCCACAGUCGCAAAUUGAAAAGGCCGAAUUCCGAAACGAAAAAGAAAAAACGGAGACCCAGUUUUCAAAUUUUAAAAUUGUCAAGUGAUACGGAUUGCAAAUUUGAAUGUAAAUCGGUCGAAAACAAGUAUACUCAAGAAUAAAAUGAGUCACAUUAUAGCAAACACAACCGCUGUAUAAAUUACAUAUUCUCGCAUCGCUCACGGUAAAUGAAUCGUUAAAAAUUACCGAAGGCUGAUCUCGAGCACAAUGGAGAGAGUUGUUGAUGGCUCUGCAUCGAUCGAUCUCAGAUUUUUUUGGUAAUAAAACCGAAAAAUUCUAUA